UUAGAGGGCAGCUAAAAUAUUUGAUUGAAGGGUUAAAUUGAAAAGAAAAAUAAAUCUAACAAAAAAAAUAAAAACUAAAAGAAUGAGGAACAAAUUAAAAAAAUAACACACCAUAAACUUGAAUUGAAGGAUAAAAUUAAAAACCAAUAAAAAUUUUAUAAAAUAGCUAAGGAAGAAAAAUAAAAAAAAUCAAAAGAAUAAGAAUCAAAUUAAAAAAAAACAUAAUAUAUGAUAAAUUAGAAUUGAAGGAACAAAUUAAAAAGAAAUAAAACUUUCACAAAAAGACCAAGGACAAAAAUAAAAAAUAAAAAAAAGGGACAAAAAAAUUUGAAUGGAGAUUUAAAUUGAAAAGGAAAAUAACACCA
rnacentral:lncRNA from 1 species